GGCCAGGUCCUGCGCAACGGGGCCCUGCUGAACCCCGCCAGGCCCGGAAGGGAGCAACGGUAGGCGGCGGUUCCCGUGUGCCGCAGAGCGACCUGGCCGGA
rnacentral:SRP_RNA from 1 species